rnacentral:rRNA from 1 species
CAGGCUGCAACUCGCCUGCAUGAAGUCGGAAUUGCUAGUAAUCGUAGGUCAGCAUACUACGGUGAAUACGUUCCCGGGCCUUGUACACACCGCCCGUCAAACCAUGAGAGUUGGCAACACCCGAAGUCGGUAGUCUAACCGCAAGGAGGACGCCGCCGAAGGUGGGGUUGAUGAUUAGGGUUAAGUCGUAACAAGGUAAC